rnacentral:rRNA from 1 species
UAAGGAAUAUUGGACAAUGGAGGCAACUCUGAUCCAGCCAUGCCGCGUGAAGGAAUAAGGCCCUAUGGGUUGUAAACUUCUUUUAUCUGGGACGAAAACGGGAUUUUUAUCUCAAUUGACGGUACCAGAGGAAUAAGCACCGGCUAACUCCGUGCCAGCAGCCGCGGUAAUACGGAGGGUGCGAGCGUUAUCCGGAUUUACUGGGUUUAAAGGGUGCGUAGGUGGGCUUAUAAGUCAGUGGUGAAAUCUCCGAGCUUAACUUGGAAACUGCCGUUGAUACUAUAGGUCUUGAAUUAUCUGGAGGUAAGCGGAAUAUGUCAUGUAG